rnacentral:rRNA from 1 species
UAGAGUUUGAUCAUGGCUCAGGAUGAACGCUAGCGACAGGCCUAACACAUGCAAGUCGAGGGGCAGCACGGUGUAGCAAUACACGGGUGGCGACCGGCGCACGGGUGAGUAACGCGUAUGCAACCUGCCUACUACAAGGGGAUAACCCGUUGAAAGACGGACUAAUACCCUAUAACACAGGGAAUCCGCAUGGAUAUAUUUGUUAAAGAUUUAUCGGUAGUAGAUGGGCAUGCGUUCCAUUAGCUUGUUGGUGAGGUAACGGCUCACCAAGGCAACGAUGGAUAGGGGAACUGAGAGGUUGAUCCCCCACACUGGAACUGAGACACGGUCCAGACUCCUACGGGAGGCAGCAGCAGGGAAUCUUGGGCAAUGGGCGAAAGCCUGACCCAGCGACGCCGCGUGGAGGAAGAAGUCCUUCGGGGCGUAAACUCCUGGACUGGGGGACGAGUAAGGACGGUACCCCAGUAGAAAGGGACGGCUAACUACGUGCCAGCAGCCGCGGUAAUACA